rnacentral:rRNA from 1 species
CCUACGGGGAGCUGCAGUGGGGAAUAUUGGACAAUGGGCGAAAGCCUGAUCCAGCCAUGCCGCGUGUGUGAAGAAGGCCUUCGGGUUGUAAAGCACUUUCAGUGGGGAAGAAAGCCUUGGGGCUAAUACCCUCGAGGAAGGACAUCACCCACAGAAGAAGCACCGGCUAACUCCGUGCCAGCAGCCGCGGUAAUACGGAGGGUGCGAGCGUUAAUCGGAAUUACUGGGCGUAAAGCGCGCGUAGGCGGUCUGAUAAGCCGGUUGUGAAAGCCCCGGGCUCAACCUGGGAACGGCAUCCGGAACUGUCAGGCUAGAGUGCAGGAGAGGAAGGUAGAAUUCCCGGUGUAGCGGUGAAAUGCGUAGAGAUCGGGAGGAAUACCAGUGGCGAAGGCGGCCUUCUGGACUGACACUGACGCUGAGGUGCGAAAGCGUGGGUAGCAAACAGGAUUAGAUACCCCAGUAGU